UUGCAGUCAUCCGCAUUUACGACUAAAAAUCCAAGGAAAAAUGAGCCCAGCUAAAAAGACUCGCCGUACGCCGGUUGUCGAUAAGCAAGCGCAUCAGGAUAAGAAGUUGCAAAAAAGAAAGCUAAUAAUUACAACAGACAGUGACUUGGACACACCCGGGAAAAACAUGGAUAAUAUACAAAAAGG